GCCGGGCUGAAGACUCUGCUUGACUAGCUGAGAGGAGGUGCAUGGCCGUCGUCAGUUCGUACUGUGAAGCAUCCUGUUAAGUCAGGCAACGAGCGAGACCCACGCCAACAGUUGCCAGCAUGUCCUCCGGGGAUGGUGGGGACACUGUUGGGACCGCCUCUGCUAAAGAGGAGGAAGGAAUGGGCAACGGUAGGUCAGCAUGCCCCGAAUUAUCCGGGCUACACGCGGGCUACAAUGGUCAGGACAAUGGGCAUCAACACCGAAAGGUGAAGGCAAUCUCUUAAACCCGUCCUUAGUUCGGAUUGUGGGCUGCAACUCGCCCACAUGAAGCUGGAAUCUGUAGUAAUCGCGUCUCAAAUGGCGCGGUGAAUAUGUCCCUGCUCCUU
rnacentral:rRNA from 1 species